UACGGAGGGUGCAAACGUUGCUCGGAAUCAUUGGGCGUAAAGCGCACGUAGGCGGCUCGUUAAGUCGGGUGUGAAAGCCCUCGGCUCAACCGAGGAAGUGCAUUCGAAACUGGCGAGCUUGAAUAUGGAAGAGGGUCGCGGAAUUCCCGGUGUAGAGGUGAAAUUCGUAGAUAUCGGGAGGAACACCAGUGGCGAAGGCGGCGACCUGGGCCAAUAUUGACGCUGAGGUGCGAAAGCGUGGGGAGCAAACAGG
rnacentral:rRNA from 1 species